GGAUAUGAAGUGAUAAUCACAAUUAGUUUCGACCUAAUCCUAGGUAAUAUUACCCUUAUUCU
rnacentral:tRNA from 1 species